UACAGAGGUCUCAAGCGUUGUUCGGAUUCAUUGGGCGUAAAGGGUGCGUAGGUGGCGCGGUAAGUCGGGUGUGAAAUUUCGGAGCUUAACUCCGAAACUGCAUUCGAUACUGGCGUGCUUGAGGACUGGAGAGGAGACUGGAAUUUACGGUGUAGCGGUGAAAUGCGUAGAUAUCGUAAGGAAGACCAGUGGCGAAGGCGGGUCUCUGGACAGUUCCUGACGCUGAGGCACGAAGGUCAGGGGAGCAAACGGG
rnacentral:rRNA from 1 species